GAGUCUUCCUUGCGGUUGAAGUUGGGGACGAAGCCCGGCUCCCAUAGGAGUCCGGGCGGCGCUUACCAGCAGUUGGAGUUAUGGACGGAGCCCGGCUCCCUUAGGAGUCCGGGCGGAGUCUUCCUUGUGGUUGAAGUUGGAGAAGGAGCCCGGCUCCCGUAGGAGUCCGGGCGACGCUUACCAGCAGUUGGAGUUGUGGACGGAGCUCGGCUCCCGUAGGAGUCCGGGCGGAGUCUUCUUGCGGUCGGAGUUGUGGGCGGAGUCCGGCUCCUGUAGGAGUCCGGGCGGAGUCUGCUUGC
rnacentral:lncRNA from 1 species